CCAACGGCCCUCUUUAGGGCCACAAAUAUUUCAAAUCCUCUAUUG
rfam:Caenorhabditis elegans chromosome V